rnacentral:rRNA from 1 species
AUCGAACGCUGGCGGCAGGCCUAACACAUGCAAGUCGAGCGGGGUUUUCGGACCUAGCGGCGGACGGGUGAGUAAUGCGUAGGAAGCUGCCCGAUAGAGGGGGAUACCAGUUGGAAACGACUGUUAAUACCGCAUAAUGUCUACGGACCAAAGUGUGGGACCUUCGGGCCACAUGCUAUCGGAUGCGCCUACGUGGGAUU